AUCAAAAUUUCCAAAAUUCUUCUAUCCCUACACCUGGCCUCUGAGGGGGAUUGAAGAGGGAAAAGAUUGGGGUCCCAGGACAUCCAGGUGCCCAGGGAAGUUGGUUCAGUAAGGCUGCUGAGAUGGGGGCCCAGCCUGCAGGGAGGAAGGCGGAGGAGGAACCCCAUACUUGGCGCGUCUGACAUCCGCAGAUGCCUCAGACCACCCUGAGCACCACUGCGGGACGGCGCCCAGCGAGGGCAAGGCCACAGAGAGGUUUCCUUCCUGUUUUCAGGUCAGGUGCCUGUAGUGAAGACUCAGUGGGUUGUGAAAUGCCUCUCCCUCUCCUCCGCUUCCUUCCAUGUCCUGUCUGCCUGCCUCUUUCUCUUUUCAUGAUCUUCCUUGUUCCAUCACACGGGGGAUACACAACCGCAUUUUCAGGUAAGACGCUGAGACCAUACAUGAUUGAGGUUACAAAGCAAAGCGUCAGCACCCUGCCGUGCCUCCACCUCCCCCACAAUCCCCCUUUCCUCCUCCCAGGUGGAAUCAGUGCCAGAGUUUGGUAUGCGCAUCUCAUCCCCGUAGCUGGGGGGAAGUUCCUGCAUUUACACAUAUGUGAAUACACACGUCUGCCCGGUAUAUACAAAUAUGGCCUUCUUACCUAUAUGCCUACGUGUACACGUACCUACGUAUAG
rnacentral:lncRNA from 1 species